rnacentral:rRNA from 1 species
CAGAGGGUGCGAGCGUUAAUCGGAAUUACUGGGCGUAAAGGGUGUGUAGGUGGUUAUAUAAGUUAGAUGUGAAAUCCCCGGGCUCAACCUGGGAACUGCGUUUAAGACUGUAUAACUAGAGUACUGUAGAGGAUAGUGGAAUUUCCAGUGUAGCGGUGAAAUGCGUAGAUAUUGGAAGGAACACCAGUGGCGAAGGCGACUAUCUGGACAGAUACUGACACUGAGACACGAAAGCGUGGGGAGCAAACAGGAUUAGAUACCCUGGUAGUCCAUGCUGUAAACUAUGAGAACUUGCUGUUGGAUGCAUAAAGGCAUUUAGUAGCGAAGCUAACGCGUUAAGUUCUCCGCCUGGGGAGUACGGUCGCAAGACUA